AUUGAACGCUGGCGGCAGGCCUAACACAUGCAAGUCGAACGAGUGGCGGACGGGUGAGUAAUGUCUGGGAAACUGCCUGAUGGAGGGGGAUAACUACUGGAAACGGUCGCUAAUACCACAUACCAUCCGAUGGGCCCAGAUGGGCUUAGCUAGUUGGUGGGGUAACGGCUAACAAAGGCGACGAUCCCUAGCUGGUCUGAGAGGAUGACCGGCCACACUGGAACUGUGCACCGGUCCAGACUCCUACGGGAGGCAGCAGUGGGGAAUAUUGCACAAUGGGCGCAAGCCUGAUGCAGCCAUGCCGCGUGUAUGAAGAAGGCCGUCGGGUUGUAAAGUACUUUCAGCGGGGAGGCGUUACCCGCAGAAGAAGCACCGGCUAACUCCGUGCCAGCAGCCGCGGUAAUUC
rnacentral:rRNA from 1 species